GGACCAAGGAGUCUAGCAUGCGCGCGAGUCAUUGGGAACCGAUAAACCUAAAGGCGCAAUGAAAGUGAAGGUACGCCCCGAGCGGACCGAGGGAGGAUGGGGUCAAUCGCGGGCGCCCCCCUAAAGGGCGUCACGCGCCCUCGCACUCCCGGGGCGUCUCGCACUCAUCGCGAGGCGAGGCGCACCACGAGCGUGCACGCUGGGACCCGAAAGAUGGUGAACUAUGCCUGGUCAGGACGAAGUCAGGGGAAACCCUGAUGGAGGUCCGUAGCGAUUCUGACGUGCAAAUCGAUCGUCGGAACUGGGUAUAGGGGCGAAAGACUAAUCGAACCAUCUAGUAGCUGGUUCCCUCCGAAGUUUCCCUCAGGAUAGCUGGCACUCGAUCGAAAAAACCGUAACGAACGCGAGCGGCCCCCGCAACGGGGCCGUCCGCAAUCGAACGAGUCUCAUCCGGUAAAGCGAAUGAUUAGAGGCAUUGGGGUCGAAACGGCCUCAACCUAUUCUCAAACUUUAAAUGGGUGAGAUCUCCGGCUUGCUUGACCUAUGAAGCCGGAGAUCGGAUCAACGGGUGCCAAGUGGGCCACUUUUGGUAAGCAGAACUGGCGCUGUGGGAUGAACCAAACGUCGAGUUAAAGCGCCAAAAUCGACGCUUAUGGGACACCAUGAAAGGCGUUGGUAACUUAAGACAGCAGGACGGUGGCCAUGGAAGUCGGA
rnacentral:rRNA from 1 species